rfam:Cavia porcellus supercont2_2 genomic scaffold, whole genome shotgun sequence.
GGGGGUUUAGCUCAGCGGCAUAAGCACUUGCCUUGCAAGCAAGUGGUAGUGAGUUCAAUCCCUG